GGAGGGUGCAAGCGUUAAUCGGAAUUACUGGGCGUAAAGCGCACGCAGGCGGUCUGUUAAGUCAGAUGUGAAAUCCCCGGGCUCAACCUGGGAACUGCAUUUGAAACUGGCAGGCUUGAGUCUUGUAGAGGGGGGUAGAAUUCCAGGUGUAGCGGUGAAAUGCGUAGAGAUCUGGAGGAAUACCGGUGGCGAAGGCGGCCCCCUGGACAAAGACUGACGCUCAGGUGCGAAAGCGUGGGGAGCAAAC
rnacentral:rRNA from 1 species